rnacentral:sRNA from 1 species
CUUGGUCAUUUAGAGGAAGUAAAAGUCGUAACAAGGUUUCCGUAGGUGAACCUGCGGAAGGAUCAUUAUCGAAUAAACUAGGUGGGUUGUUGCUGUCCCUCUCGGGGGAAUUGUGCACGCCCUACCUUUUUUGUUUUUCCACCUGUGCACACACUGUAGGUCUGGAGAGGAAGGGAGGCAACUCCCUGACGUUUCAGGUCCUAUGUCUUUACACAUACACUAUUAAAAGUAACAGAACGAUUCAAUGGGCUCUAAGCCUAUAAACUAUAUACAACUUUCAGCAACGGAUCUCUUGGCUCUCGCAUCGAUGAAGAACGCAGCGAAAUGCGAUAAGUAAUGUGAAUUGCAGAAUUCAGUGAAUCAUCGAAUCUUUGAACGCACCUUGCGCUCGUUGGUAUUCCGACGAGCAUGCCUGUUUGAGUGUCAUUAAAUUCUCAACCUCAUCGCUUUUGUGAUGAUGGCUUGGAAGUGGAGGUUUUUUGCGGGCUGAAAAGUCUGCUCCUCUCAAAUGAAUUAGUGGGUGCCCCGCGCAAACCUAUCUAUUGGUGUGAUAAUUAUCUACGCCGUGGAUCCUUAGGAUUGCUGUAAAAAGGUGUUUGCCCUGCUUCUAACCGUCUUCGGACAACUUGAACCAUUUGACCUCAAAUCAGGUAGGACUACCCGCUGAACUUAGGCAUAUCAAUAAGCGGAGGAAAAGAAACUAACAAGGAUUCCCCUAGUAACUGCGAGUGAAGCGGGAAAAGCUCAAAUUUAAAAUCUGGCAGUCUUUGAUUGUCCGAGUUGUAAUCUAGAGAAGCAUUAUCCGCGCUGGACCGUGUACAAGUCUCCUGGAAUGGAGCGUCAUAGAGGGUGAGAAUCCCGUCUUUGACACGGACUGCCAGGGCUUUGUGAUGUGCUCUCAAAGAGUCGAGUUGUUUGGGAAU